rnacentral:rRNA from 1 species
ACUAACAAGGAUUCCCCUAGUAACUGCGAGUGAAGCGGGAAAAGCUCAAAUUUAAAAUCUGGCAGUCUCUGGCUGUCCGAGUUGUAAUCUAGAGAAGUAAUGCCCGUGCUGGACCGUGUAUAAGUCUCCUGGGAUGGAGCGUCAUAGAGGGUGAGAAUCCCGUCUUUGACACGGACUACCAGUGCAUUGUGGUAUGCUCUCAAAGAGUCGAGUUGUUUGGGAAUGCAGCUCAAAAUGGGUGGUAAAUUCCAUCUAAAGCUAAAUAUUGGCGAGAGACCGAUAGCGAACAAGUACCGUGAGGGAAAGAUGAAAAGAACUUUGGAAAGAGAGUUAAACAGUACGUGAAAUUGCUGAAAGGGAAACGCUUGAAGUCAGUCGCGUUGGCCAGGAAUCAGCCUUGGUUUUCCUUGGUGUAUUUUCUGGUCAAUGGGUCAGCAUCAAUUUUGACCGCUGGAAAAAGUCUUGGGGAAUGUGGCAGCUUUGGCUGUGUUAUAGACCCAGGUCGCAUACAGUGGUUGGGAUUGAGGAACUCAGCACGCCGCAAGGCCGGGUUUCGACCACGUUCGUGCUUAGGAUGCUGGCAUAAUGGCUUUAAGCGACCCGUCUUGAAACACGGACCAAGGAGUCUAACAUGCCUGCGAGUAUUUGGGUGGAAAACCCAAGUGCGUAAUGAAAGUGAAAGUUGAGAUCCCUGUCAUGGGGAGCAUCGACGCCCGGACCAGAACUUUUGGGACGGAUCCGCGGUGGAGCAUGUAUGUUGGGACCCGAAAGAUGGUGAACUAUGCCUGAAUAGGGUGAAGCCAGAGGAAACUCUGGUGGAGGCUCGUAGCGAUUCUGACGUGCAAAUCGAUCGUCAAAUUUGGGUAUAGG